GACUCGACAUUUUUUAUCAAAAUUUCAUUUUUUGUUAAACCUAGACACCAUACACACAAUAACUAGGUUCUACACCCAUUGUAAUCUUCCACCAUCUUCCAUAGCCAUUUUCACCAUGUAAAUCACUGUGAACCGCCACUCUUUCAUCACCCUUUACAACCAUGAAAAUAGGCCUUUACCCUCAACCCACCAUUUCUCCACCAUCGAAACCAUUUAAAAAAUCCCUUUGAAACACCCCUGUCUUCUGUCAAGUUUAAGGUUGAAGUUUCGGAAUUCCGGUCAACGGUUCGGUACGGUGUUAACGUUGAGUUAAUUAGAGAUUCAUUGCUAAAAUUGGAUCUUGUUCAAGUCUGCUGUCAAUUAUUUUGUUGUUGGGACGUUUGUAUGCAAAGGUUAUUUCUUGAAUAAGAGUUGCGAAGAAGAUUACCUCUGCUAAAAAGUGGCUACUAUCAUUGUCUUCCCUUCAGUUAAGCCUGUCAAUUGGGUCGGGUCGACCUGGGACCAGCCCACCUAACCCGGCCCAGCCCCCAACCCAGUAAGAGGGUGGUCACUACUAAAAAAGAUUGGAUUUCCGGACCUCAAAAAACCGACCUCAUGAGGGACUCACCAUCGCCGCCAUCCCUGAUCAGUACCGCCGUCACCGUCGCCACCGUCCCUAAUCAGUACCGCCGUCGCCGUCUCCUCCACAGUCAACCAUUUGAGGCUAUGCCUAGAAAGAAGAGGUCAUCUUUUCAUACCGUUCCCUCUCUUAUGCAUAAAGAUCAAAUAUCUCUAUCUAUAGAACCUAUAACGGUCACCCAUUCUAUUCCAGAUUGUAGUGGAAUAGCAUUAUGUUGUUCUGAUGGUACCAUCCUCCAUACAGGUGACUGGAAGAUAGAUGAGUCACCACUUGAUGGGAAGGUUUUUGACCGUGAGGCCCUUGAGGAACUCUCAAAAGAAGGUGUUACUUUGAUGAUGAGUGAUUCAACAAAUGUCCUUUCCCCUGGAAGGACACUCAGUGAAUUUGUAGUUGCAGAUUCGUUGCUGAGGCACAUUUCGGCUGCAAAAGGAAGGGUUAUCACUACUCAGUUUGCAUCAAAUAUUCAUCGUCUUGGCAGUGUGAAAGCUGCAGCUGACUUAACUGGCAGAAAGCUGGUAUUUGUUGGCAUGUCCUUGAGGACAUAUCUUGACGCUGCAUGGAAAGAUGGGAAAGCACUCAUCGACCCAUCAACGCUGGUAAAGGUGGAAGAUAUUGAUGCUUAUGCCCCAAAAGAUUUGCUGAUUGUGACAACAGGUUCUCAAGCAGAACCACGUGCUGCAUUGAAUCUUGCGUCAUAUGGAAGUAGUCAUUCCCUCAAAUUAAACAAAGAAGAUCUAGUUUUAUAUUCACCCAAGGUUCAGAGAAUCUGAAAAGCGAGCAACAUUAUGAGAUAAAUUUAGAGAAUACUGAAGCAAAGGCCAGUGCCAGUUCCAGAUGAGGAUGCACUGAGAAAUAGUGACAUUUCACUAGAUGACAAGUUGUUACCAUUUGUUUUGUAUCGUUUAUCUUCACUAUCUCAACAGAUCAUCAGUUCUUUGAAAAGAGGGAAAAUUAAAGGCUACCCAGUUUGGGGUAAUCCAAACAGCAUGGACGCAUUUUUAAAUGAGAAUUCACCGCCCUUGCUGCAUGCCUGAGCUAUAAAGAUAUCUAGCAGGAAAAGAAAGAAUUUGUCUUUGAUCCAGAAAUCAAUAUCAACAUUCAAAGGCGGAAUUUCUUCGUACUCAGCCACCCGACACACAGGUGACAGAAGAACAAAUGGAGAAAAGGUGGCUUGAGAGUGUUGGUGGUCCCACUAGUUUAAUGUUUUGUGGAUGUUUGCAAAG